UGAUGCUUAGCGGCGGACGGGUGAGUAACACGUAGGUAACCUGCCCAUAAGACUGGGAUAACUACCGGAAACGGUAGCUAAUACCGGAUAGGUUCUUCUCUCGCAUGGGAGGGGAAAGAAAGACGGAGCAAUCUGUCACUUAUGGAUGGACCUGCGGCGCAUUAGCUAGUUGGUGAGGUAACGGCUCACCAAGGCGACGAUGCGUAGCCGACCUGAGAGGGUGAUCGGCCACACUGGGACUGAGACACGGCCCAGACUCCUACGGGAGGCAGCAGUAGGGAAUCUUCCGCAAUGGGCGAAAGCCUGACGGAGCAACGCCGCGUGAGUGAUGAAGGUUUUCGGAUCGUAAAGCUCUGUUGCCAGGGAAGAACGUCCUUAAGAGUAACUGCUUAAGGAGUGACGGUACCUGAGAAGAAAGCCCCGGCUAACUACGUGCCAGCAGCCGCGGUAAUACGUAGGGGGCAAGCGUUGUCCGGAAUUAUUGGGCGUAAAGCGCGCGCAGGCGGUCAUUUAAGUUGGGUGUUUAACCCCAGGGCUCAACCCUGGGUCGCAUCCAAAACUGGGUGACUUGAGUGCAGAAGAGGAGAGUGGAAUUCCACGUGUAGCGGUGAAAUGCGUA
rnacentral:rRNA from 1 species